GUGCUUGCUUACAAAGCACAUAUACGAAAAUAGGAAAUAUACAGAGAAGAUUAGCAGGGUCCCUGAACAAAUAUGACAAUACAAAAUCCUCAAGUUUCCAUAUUUUC
ensembl:snRNA U6 U6 spliceosomal RNA